GACAGAGGGUGCAAACGUUUGUUCGGAAUUACUGGGCGUAAAGCGCGUGUAGGCGGCUAAGUAAGUCGGGCGUGAAAUCCCACGGCUCAACCGUGGAAGUGCACUCGAAACUGCAUAGCUAGAGUCCUGGAGAGGAAGGUGGAAUGCUUGGUGUAGAGGUGAAAUUCGUAGAUAUCGGGUAGAACACCAGUGGCGAAGGCGGCUAUCUGGACGGACACUGACGCUGAGACGCGAAAGCGUGGGGAGCAAACAGG
rnacentral:rRNA from 1 species